rfam:Ipomoea nil DNA, scaffold: scaffold3170, cultivar: Tokyo-kokei standard.
GUGGCUGUAGUUUAGGGGUAAGAAUUCCAUGUUGUGGCCGUCGAGACCUGGGCUCGAAUCCUAGAAGCCACA